rnacentral:lncRNA from 1 species
CUGACUUCCUCCAAGUGAUACUACCUGCCUUCUCUGCCAAACCCUCUGGCCCUAACCUAUCAUGUAUGAAAGGUGAAAUAGGAGCAUACUCUGAUUUCACAGUUUUAACCAUCAUCCUGUGACCCCAAAAGUCCAUCACAGGAGGGCAUAUGCACAAAGACAUUAAAUGUAAAAGAAAUGGCCUGUGCUGAGCAACAGAGAAAGCUGUAUCAGAGAUAAAACCAAACAGAUGAAUUACCUCACAGGAUUGCUGGUCAAAGACACUCGGAGAGACUCCAGGCAUGUGACAAGUCUCUCAUCUGCAGACCCCAUUUUCAGCUCAUGAAUGAAUUCCUGAGAUUCACCAUCCAACGGCAGGAAAUGAAUUGUGUAAGUUCAAAAGAAGAUCAGGUGAAGUGGUACGAAAUUCGGUGUUUUUCAUGUUUUUUGUUUUUAUUAAUUUACUAUAAUGUUAUUCAAAACAACAUUCCCAAUAAAGCAAAACAAAUUAGCACUGUAAAAAAAAAAAAAAA